GAAUGGAGAGGCACACACUGCAAGAUGCUUGAGUUUUCACAGUCUGUGUUGAUUUGGGGAGCCAUGUCAUUUGCUGGUGUUGGUCCACUGUGCUUCAUUAAGUCCAGGGUCAACGCAGCAGUCUACCAGGAGAUUUUGGAGCACUUCAUGCUUCCUUCUGCAGAAGAGCUUUAUGGGGAUGCUGACUUCAUUUUCCAGCAGGACUUGGCACCUGCCCACACUGCCAAAAGCACCAAAGCCUGGUUCAAUGACCAUGGGAUUACUGUGCUU